UUAUGGGGGCCAAUUUGGUGUUAUAACUUCAUGGUAAUUAUGUUAUUAUUCCAUCUUAUUUAUUCAAUUGUGUACAAUGAGUUGGGAGUUACUUCCAGGUUUGCCCUUUUCCUUGACUUAGUUAUCUUAUCUUGUAUUUUAUCGUAUUUAUAUCAUGAUUUAGUUCUGUCAUCUGAUGAAGCCUGUGAAUACUUGUGAUUUUGGUACUCAUACUAC
rnacentral:lncRNA from 1 species